AUGAUUGUGGCUUAAUGGUAGAGUGCUCACCUAGCAUGUGUGAGGCACUGGGUUCAAUCCUCAGCAUCACA
rnacentral:tRNA from 1 species